rnacentral:misc_RNA from 1 species
AAGGAUCAUUAGUGAAUUUAGGGUGCUCUUUUCAGCGGAAGCGAUUAGAGGCCUGACCUCCACUUAUCCUAACACUGUGCAUUUAUCCGAGUUUGUAAUCCUUGAGUUCACGCUCAAGUCUUACUCGUCUAUCAUCUUUAACUUUAGUCAAAGAAUGUAAAUAAAACUUAAUAAAUAAAACUUUCAACAACGGAUCUCUUGGCUCUC